UGGGGAAUAUUGGACAAUGGACGAAAGUCUGAUCCAGCAAUACCGCGUGAGUGAUGAAGGCCUUAGGGUUGUAAAGCUCUUUUAGCAGGGAAGAUAAUGACGGUACCUGCAGAAAAAGCCCCGGCUAACUCCGUGCCAGCAGCCGCGGUAAGACGGAGGGGGCUAGCGUUGUUCGGAAUUACUGGGCGUAAAGAGCGCGUAGGCGGCUCGGCAAGUUGGAUGUGAAAGCCCGGGGCUUAACCUCGGAACUGCAUUCAAAACUGCUGAGCUAGAGUAUGGUAGGGGGUGAUGGAAUUCCUAGUGUAGAGGUGAAAUUCUUAGAUAUUAGGAGGAACACCGGUGGCGAAGGCGGUCACCUGGGCCAUUACUGACGCUGAGGCGCGAAAGCGUGGGGAGCAAACAGGAUUAGAUACCCCUGUAGUCC
rnacentral:rRNA from 1 species